CGGAGCCUCUGUUUAUCUGUUUACCUGUCAUGGCCACUGGCAUUGUUUCCAGUCUGGGGCUCUCAUGAAUGAAGCAGCUAUAAACGCUCAGAACAGCCUCACGUGGGGAAAACCGCCUUUGUUUCUCUGCUGGGCCACAGUAGUGGGUGUGAACCAUUCCACCCAGCAAGGUAUGAAAGUUCCAAGUGGUUUUCCAUCCAGCCUUUUAAAAAAUUUGAGCCACUCUUGAGUGGGCAGUGAUAUCUGUGUGGUCUUUCUUUUAAGUUUCACUGGGGUAUAACUGACAUACAAUAAACAGUGCAGGUUUAAAGUGUACAAUUUUACAAACUGACAUACAUCAAUAUAUGUAAACACCCACAAUCAAGAUAAUGAAUACAUCCAUCACCAAGUCUCCUUAUGCCCUUUGUCAUCCCUUCCUUUUUUUCCUUCCUCCCCCAACCACUGAUCUGCUUUCUAUUACUAUUAGUUAGCUAGCACUUUCUAGAGCUUUAUAUGAACAGAAUCACAGAGUAUAUACUCUUUUUUUGUCAGAGUGCUUCUUUUACUCAGCGUAAUUAUUCUGAGAUGCAUCCAUAUCAUUGUGUGUAUCAACAGUUCAUUCCUUUUUUUUUUUUUUAAGCCGGGUAGUGUUCCCAACUUAGAUUUUUACCAUAGUUCCCAUAUUUGAAGAAAACAUGACAAUAGCGACCAUCAAAAGGAAAUAUUCAACUAGGCAGGCCAGAAGGUUUGUUAACACCAGCUAUUAUGCAAAGCGCUUCUGAAAUUACCUUUCCCUGCCCUUUGAGGGGUGGGGGAAUGGCCCAGGAAAGAUUCAGAUAAGCAAAAGAAAAUGGUCCCUUGUAGCUUAAGGACAUUUGGCAGGACUAUGUCAGCACUUUUCAUCCCAGGAUCUCAAGGGCUUUAAGAAAUACCAGUUUUAUUUCAUAUAUAAGAAAACAAAUGUUACUUGAACUGACUCAGAGCUCAGCAGGAGUCACCCUUGCCUGCCAUUCUCCUACUCUGGCAGGUACACAUAUUCUGCCUCUAAACAAACUUUCAGAGAAGGAGAGGGAGAGG